GAUUUGGAUUCAAGGAUGUUUCUCUUUUAGCGAGUUAUUCAUGGAAUGCGUUUGUAGAGCAGGAGUAAAGGUGAAACUUUUGCCCCUUUUUUGAGAUUUCCAGCGGUCUCAGCAAACCGAUUCGUAUCCAGCUGAAGCAGAGGCUUAGGCGAAAGGAAUUUUGAAGAGAAUAUUCAACAAGUUCCCAGGAAAUCUGCAGAAGAGCACUGCCUUUUUUCACAGGGAAGUCUUGCCAGCCAGUCGGUGGUUGUGGACAACUUUCCCCAUUGAGAAGUUCAAGAGCCUUUCUCGCUCUCUCUCUCUCUCUCUCUCUCUCUCUCUCUCUUACCCACAAUCCCUUCUGUGAGGAGUGCGAAGGAUGAGGCUGAGGAGAGGGCAUGGGUCAGUGAAAAGGAAUUAACAACGCAAUGGCC
rnacentral:lncRNA from 1 species